CAAGGGUGUGACAAUCGAAUAGAGUUUUGGUAGUAUCUCAUGCUAUGGUUUACAAGAUACUAUUAAACCCUAGCCAUUUACUACAACCUACCAUAGCUCUAUUAAAGCCCUCAAUUUAUUACAAUUUAGUUUGAAUAUUAUACUCAAAUUAUUCAACAAUCAAUACAAGUUCAAGUUAAAGUCAAGUCUCAAUCAUCUAACAUAGUUGUAGAG
rnacentral:lncRNA from 1 species